rnacentral:rRNA from 1 species
CCCUUAGAUGUUCUGGGCUGCACGCGCGCUACACUGAAGCGUUCAACGAGUAUUCACCUUGCCCGGGAGGGUUGGGUAAUCUUUUGAAAACGCUUCGUGAUGGGGAUAGAUUAUUGCAAUUAUUAAUCUUCAACGAGGAAUUCCUAGUAAGCGCGAGUCAUCAGCUCGUACUGAUUACGUCCCUGCCCUUUGUACACACCGCCCGUCGCUCCUACCGAUUGGGUGUGCUGGUGAAAUGUUCGGAUCGGCCGUUUGUCGCGGUUUCCGCGUCAUGUGGCUGAGAAGUUCAUUAAACCCUCCCACCUAGAGGAAGGAGAAGUCGUAACA